AUUGCUUCUCGGCCUUUUGGCUAAGAUCAAGUGUAGUACUCAUGAAACUAUAAUUUAUACAGUGUUUGUAUCAAUUUGCACUUCUACCAGCAGUAAAUGAGAAUUUCAACCCCUUCACACAUUUACCAGCAUUU
ensembl:snRNA U2 U2 spliceosomal RNA